rnacentral:lncRNA from 1 species
GUAUAGUUGGGUUUUUCAUUGCUUGUGAACCCAAGAAAUUUUUACGCCUUGUUUGUUUGCUACACUUUGGGCGAUCUCUCUCUCUCUCUCUCUCCUUUGUCAGCAGUGUCAGUACUGAUAUUUUCAGUACUCCCAUUUGUGGACACGGUAAACCUUUUUUGUUCGCGUUGCUUGUGUAGUGAAUUAUUUGAUUUUUCACAAAAUUGGAGUAUAUGCUGAAAACGUUGAUUCUCUCUGCCC